UUUAGUGAUUUUACAUUGUAAAAACCUUACAUGUUUUCCAAACAACAUAGGUUCUCUUAAAUCCCUUACACAUUUAGAUAUUUCAUGUUGUGAAAACCUUACAUGUCUUCCAAACAACAUGGGUUCUCUUAAAUCCCUUACACAUUUAGAGAUUUCAGGUUGUAAAAACCUUACAUGUCUUCCAGACAACAUGGGUUCUCUUAAAUCCCUUACAUAUUUAAAGAUUUUAAGAUGUAAAAACCUUACAUGUCUUCCAAACAGCAUGGGUUCUCUUAAAUCCCUUACAUAUUUAAAGAUUUUAAGAUGUAAAAACCUUACAUGUCUUCCAAACAGCAUGUGUUCUCUUAAAUCCCUUACAUAUUUAGAGAUUAAAUUUUGUAAAAACCUUACAUGUCUUCCAAACAACAUGGGUUCUUUUAAAUCCCUUACACAUUUAGUGAUUUAUUAUUGUCCAAAUCUCACCUCUCUUCCCAACGACAUGGGUUCUCUUAAAUCCCUUACACAUUUAAAGAUUUCAUCUUGUAAAAAGCUCACAUGUCUUCCAAACAACAUGGGUUCUCUUAAAUCCCUUAUACAUUUACAGAUUUCAUAUUGUGAAAACCUUUCAUGUCUUCCAAACAACAUGGGUUCUCUUAAAUCCCUUACACAUUUAGAAAUUUCAAAUUGUAAAAACCUUACAUGUCUUCCAAACAACAUGGGUUCUCUUAAAUCCCUUACACAUUUAGAGAUUUCAAAUUGUUAAAACCUCAUAUGUCUUCCAAACAAUAUGGGUUCUCUUAAAUCCCUUACACAUUUAGAGAUUUCAUUUUGUGAAAACCUUACAUGUCUUCCAAACAACAUGGGUUGUCUCCAAUCCCUUACACCUUUAACAAUUGAAUCUUGUCCAAGUUUGGUUGAUAAUUCUUUUGCCCUGGAAUGUCUUACUUCUCUAAAAGAAAUAGAAGUGGCCGGCUGUGAUCAAUGGAUUAGAAAUUGGUCUGACGAUGCAAUAACCAGAUUUUUCUCAGUUGAAGAAGGUUCAUUGAUUUCGAUAUGCAUUAAGGAUGAUGAUAUUGAUUUAUUGUCUAGAUGGUUACGAAAGAAGAUUGAAUAUUCCACCAAAAUAACACAAACAUUGAUAAUCAACGGUGAUCAUCGAGGCAGUGAUUUCUAUAGAGGGAGACACCAUCUCAGUAUUUGUUGUUUUAAACAAGAGAAAUUACCAGAAGAGUUGGUGCAUGUUCAGGAUCUUCAAAUCAUGGCCGUUGAAAAUUGUCCAAAUCUAAAUUGCUUGCCGAAUGGGAUGAAAAAACCACAAUUUUUGAAAAUUGAGAAUUGCCCGAUGUUGGAGAAGAAUUGUGAAGAAAGAGGUUACGAGUAUGGUGAUGAAAUUGAAUCAAUCAUGACCUUUCAUAAUUUUUAAAAUAAAUUAAUCAUCUCACAACCGUUCAUUUAUUAUUAUUAUUAUUUUCUCUAUUAGAGUAUACCACUGUGUAAACUGUUUUUUUCUUCUUCCGUUUAUCGGUAAAUAACGAUAUUUUUCGUACGAAUAUGUCGUUCACAGAAACAUCUCGUACAAUGUUUUUAAAUUUCACUAUACCUCCGAUCGCUCUCUGUUUCUUUCUCAUUUAUGCUUUUUGAUUUUCUCUCUCCUCCCCUUCGCCGCCUAAAUCGUUCGCCGAGAAAUCGCCCGUCGAAAUCAUCCGCCAAACGCUCGUGCGAAGUCGUGUCCUCGCCGAUAUCGUCGUCUCCAAGUCUCCCCCGUCUUCCCAAGUCCAAAUCUCACGUUCUCGUCGUCUUCAUUGUUCCCAAGUCCUCGUCGAUCUUGUCCGCACCAUAUUCGUCUUCAUCUUAAAGUCUUAAAGUACGUAUUCGAAACCGCCGCCGUUGUCGAUGUCAUUAUUUUUUGGGUAUCCACUGACGGCGUCUUCAUCUUCUACAUUUGAAUAAACCAAACCCAUGCAUAUUUGUCAAUGAUGUAUUGUCUUCCGUCAAGGUAGCGGAACACUUUUUGAUCCCACCAUAUUCUUUGAUUGGAUCGAACCAGAGGUAGAUUCUUUGCUCUCUAUCUCCCUUUCCACCUGUGAUCGAUCGAACACGUUGGUCUGAACAAUUAAUGUAUGGCUCUUUGAGUUUUUUUUCCCAAGAACUCGAAGUCAAUCUCAUCGUGUUCAGAAUUCUGUGACUGAAGACUGAAGAAGAAGAACCACGAGGAUGGUGCAUGGUGGUGGUGAGAUAAUGAGAUUUAUCAGUACUGGUGAGAAUGAAAAACAUAGACUUACAUAGAAUGCAGUGGCUGUUCCGGCAAAAUCCCCGGGAACCAUCUUAAUCUGUAUACUCAAGUGUCCAAACAGGUAAGACCAUAUAUAAUUUUUCCUAUUAAUCUUCUAGCUGCCUCUCUAAUUUUUGCUUCUUUUCUAAUUUUUUUUUUAUAUCUUUGAAUAAUUUAAAUCUAGUUAAGUUACACUUCUUUUCAAAUUCAAACUCUUAUUUUCACAUUUAGGGGAGUGGGUCGGGUCAAACCUGAAUUCGAACAUGUCGGGUCUAAGUUUGGUUGGAUAUUAUCGGUCAUAAAACCCGAUAUACCUGAACCCGAGUUUUUUUCACCCGAUAUGAAGGACUUGAACCUGAGUUUUUUUCACUUGAUUUUUUUCGGGUCGGGUUCAGAUAAGACGUCCCGAACCAAACUCGACUCUCCUUAAACCCGAAUUUUUUUAUAAAAAUAUCUUAAAAUAAAAAUAACGACGUCUGCAAGGGGAUUGACUGUAACAUCUGCGAUCUCCAUUCCAACAGAAAAAAAAUUAGUAAAUUUGAAAGAAAAAAACGAAAAUGAAAUUCCCUAAAUCUUCACUGCACAAAUUGGUAAAAUUGAAAUUGAAUUUCAUUAAAGAAUAUGAUUUAACAUUACAUCUUUUAUCUUUACAUAGCCUUAGACUUAACCUCUAACUAUAUAUAACUGCCUAACUGUAUUCUAAACUCAUUUAUAACUUCAUUCUCUAAUACUGAUUACUGUACAUUUUUUUCCAAUAUAUAAUAUUAAGCAAAUUUGACUACAAGCAUCAAAACUGAGGAUCAAAAUUUUCAAGACGAGGAAAAAAAACGAAAUUAAAAUUAGAAUAGUAUGUUGAUGUUCUCACCUAAUUUGACAUUAUCAAGAGAGUUGAAUAUGGAUAUAAUGUCAUAUAAUGGUAGAAAACAAUGAAUUAAUUUAAACAACAUUUAUCAAUCAAAUCCAUCAAUCAGACCAUCAACUGCAAGUUAAUUUCAUGUGUUGAACUCAAUUAAACAAUACUGAACAACCAGAAUGUGAAAUUCAUGGUGAUCGCGACAAUAACAUAUUACCAGUUAUUGCUAGUACGUAUUAUGCAGUCAUUCUAAGUUGUUUUUCAGCUUACAACAUUUAUUUUGCUAAACUCUCAUCCUGAUGUUUUCUGCAGCUUUUACUUGAAACAAGUGUGGAUGUUCCUGAAAAAUAAAACAUGAUCAGCAAAAUCUAAACAACUUUUCCAAUAACCUUUAUUUAAAAACACUUUUCCAAUGAUCAAACAAUAUCCUCAAACCAAUUAAUUCCACUUUAUUAUUUCACCCUUUCAUUUUGAAUUCAAACAAAAGAUUAAUAAAAUAAAUCAACUGUGCUUUAUUCAUAAAUAUCAAACUAUCCCACAAUAAAUGCAUCAAAAUGAAAACAAAAAAGACAAUGCUUUUACCAUUGCUUCUCGAGCAGUGAGCCUGUCCUGAUGAUCAAUCAUAGCGAAGCAGCUUGUUAAGAAAAUCUAUGGCCUGUAUAUUUCUUUGAGUAAACAAGUGUUUAAAGGUUCGGAGUUUAACUAUUUGUUAGCUCAGGAGAAACUAAAUGUUGAUUGUCUCCAUUAAUGAAUUUGGACCAUGCUUUCCUGCUAUGCCUGGAAAUAUAUUAAUAUUAACAAACAUAUAUAUCACAUGUUUUCAUGUCUCCAAUUCUUUUAAUGAAUAUUUAUCUAUUUAAGAAAUUAAGAUAAAAACAGUAUAAUUCAAUAUCUCGUCGUCGUCAUCGUCGGAUCCAUCUUUAGAUUUGACUAUUUGAGUUUUUGACUAAUAAUUAUUUGAUGUUUUAUCUUAUUUAAAAUUUUAAAAAUUAUUUAAGAAUUAUUUGAUCAAAUUUUUCAUAUUAUGUAAAUAACAGAGUUUUUUAUGCAAAAUGUGAAAAAAAUUAUUAAACUCGAACACGACCAAACCCUACAUUCAAAUCGAGUUUUAUAAUUUUAGAUGUUCGCGAGUUUUGACUUGAACCCGAUUUUAAAACUUAGGUUCGAUUUUGGGUCAGGGCAAACCCAAGCCAUGCCCAUUCCUAAUUCAACUCUGAUGGAUCGUGGCUUACAAAUCGGGCGCUCACACACACACACACACACAAUUCUCUCUCUCAAGGAUUUAGUGUAUUCUCUCUCUAUUUUCCAGCCCGGCCCCUCCCUUGUUGGACCAGGGGAGGAAUUUAUAGGUUCAUCCCCGUGCCUCUUGGCUUAUAGACCUCCCUUGGCCCAGGCCCGUCGUGCGGUCGAGCCCGUGGUCGGUUCGGUCCAUGAUCCGUUGGACGGACCACGGCACCAACAAACUCAUAUUAUUAUUACCAUCAUACCAUUAAGGAUGAUUUUAUCGUUAAAUCCUUGUAGUGUUUUUAUUUUUACAUCGAAUUGACGAGUUUUAAUUUUAAUGGAAUGCUAGAGAAAGGAGACGGAUAGUUGAUAAAAUAUUUGUUUAGUAUUUGAAAGGUCAUGGGUUCAAUUUCCCAUGUAUCCAAAUAAUUAUUUCUUUUAAUUCGAGUCCAGACUCGUGGGCUCGAGUCUGACAAUUUUUAAAACGAGCCCGACCUCGACCAAACCAGGCUCGGCGAGCUCGAGUCCGAGCCUGGAUAAUUUCUUAAAGAGCCGAGCCCGAGCCUGACUUUAUAAGCAAAAGCUCGACUCGGCUCGUUUGACACCCUAGAGCCAGGGUAGUAGCUAUUACUGCAAUAUUAUAUGAGUACAUAAGUAGACAGAUAACCAGAAUAAAGGUUUUUUCCAGAAUAUUAAAAGAUGCAAGUCACACUGAUUUUUUUAAUCCAUAAUCUGUUGUUCUACACUUCAACAUCAUCUCAUUACAGAUUGCAAAUUUGCAAGGGGGUAUAAGAAGACGAAUCUGCACAUUAGUUUAGUAAUUGUAAUAAUUGUCAAUCAACUAAAAUCGGAAAGUAAAUCCUAAAUCAUAACUACUUACCAAAUCAACUAGCAUGGGGUUAAUUAUGAAUAUCCCUUAAACAUAAUAAAAUAUUAAAUGCAAUAUAUGGGGUGGACGUGCAUGGUGUGCAUUGAGAGUAAAUUUUUUAAUAAACGUACUCGUCUAACUUGGAUGUCUUUUUUGCUCGUUUGGCCAAGAAAAUAACAAGCUAUAUGCCAACAAAUUCGUUGAAUCGUCAAACUCAAUAAUAAUGCCAUAAGAUCGACAAUGAGUCAUGUUCAAAGAAAAACCUGUGGACCAUGGCUGAUUGACUAUUCCUUUAAAUGGUUCUUAAUUUAUAAGGGUGAGCCUGGGUCGGUUCAAAUCCGAACCCGGCGAAUCCGACCCGAACCCAAACAUGUUGGGUGUCGAACCCGAAUUUUUUUCACCCAAUUCAACCGAAACCUGAAUUUUUUUAUAAAAAAACCUUAAAAUAUAAAUAAUUAUAUAAAUAAAAUUUUAUUUUAUAUAAAAUAUUUUAUAAAAAUUUAAUAUACACAUUUAUUAAAUUUUUUUCUUCUUUUAAAAUCUAAACCCUAAUAUUAUUAUCAUUUUCCUAUAUAUUCUCUUCCAUUUUCAUCUUUCCUUUCCUCACCGUCGUUUUCGCCUAAUAAUUAUUUAAUAUUUUAAAAAUUAUUUGAUCAAAUUAUUUAAAUAACAAGGAUUUUUAUGCAAAAUUUUUAAAAAAUAUCAAAUCCGGCCCCGAACCCGACCAAAUCCGACAUCCAAUUCAGGUUCGGGUUAUAUAAUUUUAGAUGUUCCCGAUUUUGACUCGAACUCGAUUUCGGAUCAUGGCAAAUCCGACCCAUAUCCAUUCCUAGUUCUUUAUUCAUAGCUCACAUUUAUUUAAUCUUUUUUUUGUCGUUUUCUAUUAUUUAAUAACGUAGGAGUUAAGACCAAAUGGGCUCCGUAACUUUUCUCUCUCUCUAUAUAUAUAAAAUUGUUAUACCAGAGCCAAAUAAUAUAUUAUCGGAUAAAUCUAAUUGAAACGGAUAUCAAUUUUACUAUCUGGUUUGUAAUCAGGCAGAAACGGAUAUGUAUAUAGUAGUGAUAUUCGUCGUUAACUACCAAUAUAUAAACGUUAUAUGUAUAAAUUAAUAAAAUUAGAAUAGUUAAAUAUAAAAAUUUAAAUAACUCAUUCAAUAUUAAAUUAUUAGAAUUUAAACUCUCAUUUUCACAUUUAAAAUUUAUUUACAAUAUUCAACUUAGGGGUGGGACCCGAAUCUGAACAUAUUCAUUCCUAAUUCAACGACUCUUAUAUUAUUAUUACUAUCAUACCAUUAAGGAUAAUUUUAUAGUUAAAUCCUUGUAGUGUUUUAUUUUUACAUUAAAUUGACGAGUUUUAGUUUUAACGGAAUUCUAGAGGAGAAAGGAGACUAUGGAACAGGAACUAUCAGAUGAGAGCCAUAUAGGGGUAGUAGUCAUUUUUUGCGUUUUUCAAACUUAAAAUGAAAUUAUAUGAAAAUCAGUUGUUAAUAAUGAUACAGAUAAAUGAUUGUCUCAAUUAAACAUUUAAACCCUUAUAUAUCACUUCUAUGAAGGUUUUUAACUAUAAAUAAGGAAAAUUAUAUAUUGAUAUAGUUCGUAUACUUAUAAUCGAAAGUCAAACUCAAUAAUAAGGCGAAAGAAGACGACUGGUUCAUUUUUUAUGUGCGUCACGUAGGACCAUCUAGACACGGAGAAUGACGUUAUGUGGUUGGUUGAGUGAUCAAGUUGCGUGGAUGGUUGGAAAUUAUAAUGGAUAAUAAAAAUAAUAUUCCCUAAAUUCAAUUAGAUCCUUAUCCUAAUUUAAAUCAGUUUAUUUCAAUCACUUAAUUUUAUUUUUUUCAAUGCAUCAACGGACCAAAUUAAACGUUUCCAAUUAUAAAGAAAGAUCAAAUUUGACCACCGGUUCCGAAUAUUGUCAUUCUACCUUUCAAAAUUUCUUCUCCGCAAACGAUCGAAGCCAUGGAAUCGGUGCUAUCAUUUCCUCUGGGAGAGGCCUCAAAAAGUCUCAUGAAAACUCUGGGGGCGGAAAUCACACUCAUAAAAAAUGCUCCGGACGAAUUGGAAAACCUGAAAAGACUCAAGACUGUCAUCGCCAAUGUUCAACAAGACGUUGCCGGCCAGGAAUUAAGCCAACAACAUGCUGGUUGGCUCGAUGAGAUGAUUGAUGCUGCGUAUGAUAUCGAGGAUAUCAUAGAUCUGUCUAGUACAGAGAUUCUUCGACGGAGAAGCUACAACAACAGGAAAUUAACUCGUUAUACCUGCCGGGUAAUUGAUUUUUUUUCUUACACCAACAAUCCUCUUAUUUUUCGCCACAAAAUAGGAAAAAGUGUGCAAAAAACAUUCGCUAGAUUGGCUAAUAUUGCGAAAGAGAAGGGAUACCAUCUUACUCUUAGCGGGAGGGAUGGAGUGGAAAAUCUGAGUACAAAGAUGCCAGAGACCUUUUCUGAAAUGGGUGGGGAUGUUGUACUGGGAAGAGAUCAUGAUCUCAAAAUUAUACUUGAACAAUUAUUGUUUAAAGAGGAAACAAACAUCGAGGUGCUUGUUUUAGUCGGAAUGGGUGGUGUUGGGAAGACUGCACUUGCAAAACUAGUGUACAAUAAUAGUCAAGUAGAUGCUCUCUUUGGUGAAAGAAAGCUUUGGGUUUGCGUAUCAGAAAUUUUUGAUCUGUCGAAAAUUUGCAAACAUGUUAUUGAGCAAAUAGAUGGAGAGUGUAAAGUCAAAGGAUUGCAAGCGUUGAGCAAGAAAUUAAAAGAGCUUUUACAAACAAACAUAUAUUUAUUAGUUUUGGACGAUGUUUGGACCAAUUCAAGUUUAACUUUGGAUUCUUGGUCGAAUAUGAAAUUAUUGUUUCAUAAUUGUAAGAUUCUGCUAACAACUCGUGAGGAGAAUGUAAAAUCUGUGAUUUUACCAGAACCCUACAUGCAUCGUGUGGGAUGUCUACCUGAGGAUGCUUCCUGGUCAUUGUUCAAGAAUAUUGCAUUUUCCAAUGGUAACGUUCCAGAGGAAUUGAAAGACAUCAGCAAAAGUAUUAUGAAAAAAUGCAAAGGUGUACCUCUAGCUGUGAGGGUUCUUGGUAGCAUGAUGCGUAAAAAAAAUUUUAUUUACUGGAAAGAGAUUGAGAAAAACAAUAUUUUUGAUCCUAAUAUUGAAGGUGAAAAUAGAAUAUUCUCAAUUCUAAAAUUCAGCUAUCAUAAUCUUCCUUUAAAGUCAAAGUUUUGCUUUGUCUACUGUUCUAUUUUCCCCAAAGAUUCGGAUAUAGAGAAAAUAGAAUUGAUCCAACAAUGGGCAGGCAAUGGUUUUAUUUCGCUUAACGAGGGAAAUAAGAUUUUCGAAGAUUUAUUGUCAAGAUGUUUCUUCCAAGAUGUCGAGAAAGAUGUUUACGGAAGCAUUACAACAUUUAAAAUGCAUAAUUUAAUCCAUGACCUUGCUGAAGCGAUUGCUAAGUCUCUGCAGUAUGGAAUCUUCGAUGACAGUAUUCGAGAUAGAAAGCAAGUUCGUUAUUUAUCGAUGAUAUUAAACAUGGGAGAAGAAGUUUCUUAUUCAGAUAUUUCAAUCAAAUUGAAAGAUGCAUGUGUAUUACGAACAUUGCAGUCUUCAUCUUCUGAUAUAGUAAGUGAGAAAUUUCUGGAUAAUUGCUUCACCAAGUUCAAAUUCUUGCGGGUUUUGGUUUGUAGUGGUCAGUAUAAGCUUAAACAUGUUCCAGCUUCCAUCGACAACCUCAAGCUUCUGAGAUACGUUGACUUCUCUUAUAUGGGCAUAACAAGACUCCCAGAAACGAUAUGCAACCUUCCAAAUUUACAGACGUUGAAAAUCAACUAUUGCUUUAAUCUUACUGUUUUGCCAAAGAAGUUGAGAAAAUUAUCCGAGUUAAGGUAUUUGGAAAAUGAUAGAUGUAUUGGUUUGGAUUCAAUGCCUGUUGGGAUAGAUCGCUUGAGUCUUUUGCAAACAUUGAAUACUUUCGUAGUGAAUGAUGGAGGAACAAAUUUAAAUGAAUUAAGACAUCUGGAUCAUCUAAAAAGAAGUCUUUGUAUACGAAAUCUUGACAGAAUUCAAAAUGUUGUUUUGGAAAAUGGAAUAUUAAAUAGAAAGAACAAUCUUGCAUCAUUGGAGCUGUUAUGGAGAUUGCAGGAAGAAAAUGAAGUAACGAAUCAGAAUGAUGAAAAAGUAUUACAAGCUUUACAACCACAUCCCAAUUUGAAAUCUUUAAAUAUAACCAGGUUUAAUGGAUUCUUCAUUCCCUUAGACAUGAGUUGUCUCCAAUCCCUUAUCUACAUGAAGAUUUCUGAUUGUAAAAACCUUACCACUCUUCCCAACGACAUAUGUUCUUUCCAAUCCCUUACACAUUUAAAGAUUAAAAAGUGUUACAACCUCACCUCUCUUUCCAACGACAUGUGUUCUCUCCAAUCCCUUACACAUUUAAAGAUUAAACAUUGUUACAACCUCACCUCUCUUCCCAACGACAUGUGUUCUCUCCAAUCCCUUACACAUUUAAAGAUUUCUUAUUGUCGAAACCUCACUACUCUUCCCAACGACGUGUGUUUUCUCCAAUCCCUUACACAUUUAAAGAUUUCUGAUUGUCGAAACCUCACCACUCUUUCCAACGACAUGGGUUGUUUCCAAUCCCUUACACAUUUAGAGAUUUCUUCUUUUGAAAACCUUACCUCUCUUUUCAACGACAUGAGUUUUCUCCAAUCCCUUACACAUUUAAAGAUUAAAGAUUUUGAAAACCUCACCUCUCUUCCCAACGACAUGGGUUGUCUCCAAUCCCUUACACAUUUAGAGAUUUCUUCUUUUGAAAACCUUACCUCUCUUCCCAACGACAUGAGUUCUCUCCAAUCCCUUAUACAUUUAAAGAUUAAAGAUUUUGAAAACCUCACCUCUCUUCCCAACGACAUGGGUUGUCUCCAAUCCCUUACACAUUUAGUGAUUGUUCAUUGUCAAAAUCUUACAUCUCUUCCCAACGACAUAUGUCGUCUCAAGUCCCUCACUACUUUAAC
rnacentral:lncRNA from 1 species